AUUUGACAAAAACAAGACAGAACGUUACACUAGAUGAUCUCAUGACAUUAACAGAUUAAUGAGUCUCGACAACGAACUUCACUCUAAAACUUAUUACCCGAAAGAAGAGCUCAACAACGCUCGAAAAACAUGGCAAGCAAAAGGGGAUUGAUCUUCAAAAGGACACUGUCUUGCUCAAACUUAGCAAAAGUUGAAGAACUGCGUAAAAUUGUAGAAAACAAUGUGUUCACUUCAACUGACGAGACCAAGCCCAUGUGCCUCUUCCGAUAUUCGGAGUAUACGAUUAGCUGCCCGACCAUGUCAAACUUUCCACGAGAUUUUCAAGAGAAUUUCGAGAGGGCGCUCAUUGAUGUGGAUAUGGAGAAGGGGCUUGAAGAUGGGGGUUCUCUUAACUGGUGUCGCACUGCAAAACGACUGAGACCACUGGCUACAAAAGAGGAUGGUAACUGUUUAACGCACGCUGUUUCUAUUGGGAUGUGGGGUUACCAUGACAGCAGCUUGUUCCUAAGGCGACUGAUUUACGUUGCCAUGCAGAAUGACGCCACUGGUAACCUGUUCAGAGAUCGAUGGCAAAAUGAGGCCAUGUCCAUGGAGAAUUCUUAUAGUUCUGUAACUGGACUGGACCUUGACGGAGAAUGGAUGAAGGUGAUCGAGAGAGCAAAUGACAAACCUAAUGAUGACCCACGAGCUCUUGAGAUGCCUUAUAAGGCAUUGGAAGAGAUACAUGUGUUUGUUCUUGCCAAUAUACUUCGCAGACCCAUAAUUAUAAUCUCUGACGUCAUGCUGCACUCUUUUACCGGUAGUGAUUUGGCCCCAUGUUCACUCGGUGGGGUGUAUCUCCCGUUGCUAUGGCAUGCGGAAGAUUGCUUCAAAACGCCAUUGACGCUCGCAUACGAUAUGAAUAGUUUCUCACCUUUGAUUGGCGAGGAAGAUAAUCCUAGAGAUGAAUAUCUUGCUACCGAAGCUGAACGUGCCAUACCUUUGAUAAGACAGAAUGGCGAGUGGUUAAAAAUUCACAUGUUGCUGCCCCAGGAAAAGGCACGCUUUCAAAAUAUUCUGGAAAAGUAUAUGUACGUAACGACACUAUUCCACACAACCAAGGACAAUGUCAAAGAAGUUAUUAGUGCAAAGCUGGAGUAUAAAGUUCUACCGGAUAAGCUCAACCUAAUGAAGGACUAUUUCCAAGACUGUGAACGGAUAUUUAAUGAAUCUACCGAUGAGGACAUUUAUAUGGAGGAGGAACCCAAACGGAUUGAUUCCUUAGAAUUGAAUGAGGUGUUAAGCCAGGAUUCUGACAAAGAAGACAUAUAUGAAGAGAGUAAGAUGUGCACCACUAAGAAUUGUGAAUUCUAUGGGAGUACCGCCACCAAGGGCAAGUGCACUAAAUGCUAUCUCGAGAGCACCAAAUUACCAGCAACGCCCGUAAAAAACGAUGAGACGUUGCGAAUGAGAAUCACUACCACUGCUUCCAAGCACAAUCCCGAUCCUUUAGCAGGCCCUAUGCCCGCUUCUAAAUUGACCCCCUAUGAGCCAAAUAUCAGAUUGAAUAAUCCAGACCGACCACAAGAUUUGCCAAUGUAUUCCAUGUUACCUACAGAAUGUGCUACUCAUGGAUGUCAUUAUAAUGCAUCAGUCCAUACUAAACCGUAUUGCCAUGAAUGCCAUGAUAGAAAACAAAAACCUGCUAAGCAUGGUACUCUUGACCUUGGAAACCAGAUCCCUAGUUCUCCAAGAAAAUCAAUCGUAAGGCAAGACAUGGAGCCCCAUAGCAACGAUAUGAAGAGCUUUGCGGUUGGGCAACCGAGUCAGGUAUGCAUGGUUGCACACUGCAAGAAUCCAUGUGAUGCUGAUCUUGAAGGAUUGUGCUCUUCACACAGGCAACAUUUUGUUAAGCCAAGUAAAACACAAGCACCGGUUGCUUUGACAACUAUCGCUGCUACCUUGGUAACUACGAGCUUUAGCAACAGGUGUAAACAUCCAGGUUGUUUCAACGUUCCCACAACUCAGUCAGGCUUUUGUGAAGUAUGUGAUCAUCAAGGCAACAGAAAUAUGUCGAGGUACGCUGCAGCAAAACCUACUGACUCCGUAAAGAAUAUUGUAUUCGAAGAUGUAAUUCCUCCAACGCUUGGACCGUGUAGGAAAAGUGGCUGCACCUUUACUGGUUCCGAAAGGUAUCGAGGGUACUGCUCCGUAUGCUACAAGAAACAUCGGUCAAAAAGACAUUCCAAUGGUUCAGCAAGCUCAAGCGGAUGUUCGACUCCUGACUGUGAAGGGGUACGCAUAGAACGAUCGCCAAUGUGCUAUUACUGUACGAAACAUACCAACCAAGGUCUGCCCGUCAUACCAAACCGUGGAAAAGAUGCUGGGACUCAGACAACUCCACCCAAGGAUCUUGGACGUAACAUCCAACCAUCUGGCUACGAUGCCAAAGCUUUUGAUAAGGAAGGUCUCACUGAUGAAUUAAGCCGUACGGUUGUAAGACACCAUUACAAGGAUUAUCCAAAGAAAGUAUGCGUCAGUCCUUUGUGUGAAAACGAAGUGAUGGUUGGUGCUGGUGAAAAUAAGUUGUGCCGAGAGUGUUUUCAAAUAUUGUGUGAUGACGCUGCCAAGAAAGCUGAAAGGAAAUCUUCUGCAGAAUUCACGGAACAAUCAAGAACAGCUGGUAAUCAAUCAAACGCGCCUAAGUGCAAAGGUCCCAGUUGUGAUAUGUUUGGUAGCGUUGAGACGAUGGGUUACUGUUCUAAAUGUUUCAAUGAAAUGAUAGCCGCACGUGACAGAGUCAAAACUUCCCCAGUUCGACAACCUUCUCAGCUUAACAGGCGUGGUGGAGACGAUCAAAUAUUUGUCCCAAUGGACAGUGACACAAGAAUUGCCACCGAGGGCGCAAGUCAGAGUCCUCUUAAGCACAGCGUCACGUACUACAAUCCAGCAAGAGUUAAUCUCUUCAACACUGAUGACUAUGACUCCAAGAUAUGCCCAGUUGAUGACUGUGACCGAUACGGCGAUGUUUGUUUUAAUGGCCUAUGUUCCUUGCAUUAUGACCCCAGUAGACCUGUAGUACAAAUAGGUAGAGAUAACGUUUUGCAUAUUAAGCCGAAAAGUCCCAGACUCAACAGACCGCCUGGGACUAGAUUCACAAGUGCUACCAAUGGUGAUAAUGAUGCGUACGUGCUCUAUCCUGACGUAAGGGGUAAACAAGAACGCUUACCCACACAACGCACGAGGAAACCCGAUGAACCAGCAAUUCAAAGACAAAUUGAAAACCAAGUCCAAAAGAUUAAAUGCCGUGAAAGACUUUGUGAGAACUAUGCCAGCAAAGAAAACAAUGGUUUUUGUAAUAGUUGCAAGAAAAGACUUGACAAAGGUUACUAAGUUUUAAAUUAACUACGAGAGUCUAUAUAUGAUAGAGUAAUUGACACGAUCAUAUGGUAUCAAAACUCAUUUCUCGGUCCUUAGCAUUUAAGAAAACUUGUACGUGAACGUGUAUACGAGUGGGACACGGGACAGUCAAUCACCCCUAGGGUUAAUAAUAUUACAUGUUCGCGUUCAUGUUUUUUUUAAAACAUGUAACUUAACUCCCUAUUAUCCGACUUGAUUAACCUCAAAUUAAACAACAAAAACAUUUAUUGGUUUAUACAUGUAGAUGUAGACAUUGUUAUUUAUCAUACUAUGUGCACACAACGGCACUUAUAAUUAUAUGUGCCAAGAUAAUUUAUAAAAAGCUUUGUGUCUGCUUGAUUUGAACGAGUUAAAACACUUACAGUUAGGGUGGUAGGCCCUGGUUGAUAAUGAGUUCACAUUUCCAGAAAAUUUCAAUGUCAUAGCAUAUUUUUAUGUAGAAUUGUAACUGAAACUAAAACCUAGUUGUGUUAAUGGUUUAACACCUCUGCUGUAUCGACGAAAUACACAUCAACAACAACAUGCACUGAAAUGAAACAGAGAGAUAUUCAAAAAACCACAAUGCUACAGAGAUACUUGUAUUUGAGUAUAUUUAACAAAAUGAGAUUGUAUACAAUAUUAAUAUUAAGCCAGACAGUUACACACCACAGGGAAAUAUAUCGUGGUAAGUCCGAUAUCUGAAAGAUCCUACGUUAUCUUUCCAAGAUCACGGCAUUAGGCCACAUCAUUCAUUUGCAUUUUGUGAAAAUUGAAGUUACGUUUGAUGAUCAUUUGUUUUUUAAUAUGGCUUUAUACAAAAAUGUAAAGCCUAGUUACAGUAUCAAUGCUUUAAGACCAAUGUACUAACCAUUGACCAUGGUACUGUACAUUUGACAUAACGAAGGGCUAGUUCUUUUUAAUUGAACACGAUGAGCAAUUUGGAAGAUCCGAUUACUUGUCUAAUCUUUCCUUAGAUAAAUAUUUAUCAGUCAUAAUAUAUUAAUACAUGAAAAAUAUUCAAUCAAAAAAAUUGUUGCUCAUUGUUUCUUUUAGAAU
rnacentral:misc_RNA from 1 species